GGGGUUGUGGCUCAGUGGUAGAGCACUCACCUAGCAUGUGUGAUGCCCUGGGUUCAAUCCUCAGUACCACA
rnacentral:tRNA from 1 species